rnacentral:rRNA from 1 species
AUUGAACGCUGGCGGCAGGCUUAACACAUGCAAGUCGAGCGGAGAUGAGGUGCUUGCACCUUAUCUUAGCGGCGGACGGGUGAGUAAUGCUUAGGAAUCUGCCUAUUAGUGGGGGACAACAUUCCGAAAGGAAUGCUAAUACCGCAUACGUCCUACGGGAGAAAGCAGGGGAUCUUCGGACCUUGCGCUAAUAGAUGAGCCUAAGUCGGAUUAGCUAGUUGGUGGGGUAAAGGCCUACCAAGGCGACGAUCUGUAGCGGGUCUGAGAGGAUGAUCGGCCACACUGGGACUGAGACACGGCCCAGACUCCUACGGGAGGCAGCAGUGGGGAAUAUUGGACAAUGGGGGGGACCCUGAUCCAGCCAUGCCGCGUGUGUGAAGAAGGCCUUAUGGUUGUAAAGCACUUUAAGCGAGGAGGAGGCUACUGAGACUAAUACUCUUGGAUAGUGGACGUUACUCGCAGAAUAAGCACCGGCUAACUCUGUGCCAGCCGCCGCAGUAACAC